CGGGAGCCUUGCUCCUACACCAGAUCCGACUCAAACCCUAGCGAAAGCCUUCCCUGCUCUCCCGCCGCUCGAUCGGAAGAAGCCAGGCGUCGGGAGUUGGAAGGUACGAGGAUGAAUCCGUUCGACGCUCGCUACGCCGAUCUCAAUUCCUAUCGGGAGAGACGGAGCAAUUUUGCGCGGCCGAUGAUGCCUCCUGGAUCGGUUCCGCUGGGCGGUGGUAUGGGAUCUGGCCCCAUCUUACCCCCAUCGGGGUCUAGCUUUGCAGUUACCGGAGGCGGAAGUAUCUUCCCUGCUCCUCCCAUCACCGCUCAUUUUCAAUCCGGGGGCGGUAACGGAAGGCCUGCUGACAUUGAACGCUUUCGGGAUGAGAGGUUUGAAUUUGGGGGAGGAGGAGGCGGUGGACGUCGUGGUGGGACAGGGCGUGGUGGUGAUCGUGGCGGUUGGGCUGGGAGUGGUGCGAGGGGUUUUGACUCGGGGAGAGGUGGUGGUGUGACUGGGAGCGGUUUUGACUCGGGGAGAGGUGGUGGCGUGACUGGGAGCGGUUUUCACUCGGGGAGAGGUGGUAGCGUAAACGGGAGAGGCCAUGGUUUUGGCAGUGGUGGGAAGGGAAGGGGACUUGAUGGUGGCCGCGGCAGUGCUGGAGGAAGGGGAAGCUUUGGAGGAGGUCGUGGGGGUAGUAGAGAUGGUUUUGGUAGUAGGAACUUCACCAAGUCAACAAAUGAUUUUGAUAGAGUUUCCCUCCCGAUACAGAAUUUCCACAACAUCAUCCCAUUUGAGAAGAACUUAUAUUUGGAGGGCCCUUCGGUGCAGGCAAUGUCAGAGCAGGAGGCUAUCUUCUACCGAAGAAGCCGCCAGAUUACGACAGAAGGCCAUGAUAUUCCAAAGCCUAUCAGGUUCUUUCAUGAGGCGAACUUUCCUGUCAACAUUCUCCAAGCUAUAGAGAAAUGUGGCUUCAGUGAACCAACACCUAUUCAAGCCCAAGGGUGGCCUAUGGCUUUGAAGGGCAGGGACUUGAUUGGUAUUGCGGAAACUGGUUCGGGAAAGACACUAGCAUAUUUGCUUCCAGCACUGAUCCAUGUUAAUUCUCAACCUCGUUUAGCUUAUGGCGAUGGUCCAAUUGUCUUGGUCCUUGCACCUACAAGAGAAUUAGCUGUUCAGAUACAAGAAGAGUCAGUGAAAUUUGGAUCACAUGUAAAUGUUAGAAGCACAUGCAUCUAUGGUGGGGCGCCUAAAGGACCACAGAUUCGUGAUCUCAAGAAAGGUGUUGAAAUUGUCAUUGCGACACCUGGUCGACUAAUUGAUAUGUUGGAAGCAUGCCAUACAAACCUUCAAAGAGUAACAUACCUCGUAUUGGAUGAAGCAGAUCGCAUGUUGGAUAUGGGGUUUGAACCUCAGAUAAGGAAAAUUAUCUCUCAAAUUCGGCCAGACCGGCAAACAUUAUAUUGGAGUGCCACAUGGCCAAGGGAAGUAGAGGCUUUAGCCCGACAAUUUUUACAAAACCCUUAUAAGAUAAUAAUAGGAUCUCCUGAUCUGAAAGCUAAUCAGUCAAUAAACCAAAUUGUUGAAGUCAUUUUGGAACAUGAGAAGUAUCCAAGGCUGAUUAAGCUUCUGAGUGAAUUAAUGGACGGGAGCAAGAUCCUGGUUUUUCUUGAGACGAAAAAAGGCUGUGACCGAGUCACUAGGCAGCUCCGGAUGGAUGGAUGGCCUGCACUAUCUAUUCAUGGUGAUAAAGAUCAAGCUGAAAGAGAUUGGGUUCUUGCAGAGUUUAAAAGUGGCAGAAGUCCUAUAAUGACUGCCACUGAUGUAGCUGCUCGUGGCCUUGGUAGGACCACUUUGUUAAGGCCCUCUUAGUUUGUCUCUCACUUAUGUCAAAGCUGAUCGGAAGUCGUUGGGCUGCUGACCAGUUUCUCAUAAAUUGAACUGAUAUUUUGGGUUGGUGUCUGAAGAGGUGCCUUCUGUCAAAGAUGUUAAGGAUAUAAAAUGUGUCAUCAAUUAUGACUUCCCAGUGAAUCUUGAGGACUAUGUUCAUAGGAUUGGACGCACUGGUAGAGCCGGUGCCAAAGGGAUGGCAUUUACCUUCUUCACUCAGGCAAGUGCAAGAUUUGCAAAGGAGCUUGUUAAAAUCCUACAGGAUGCUGGUCAGAUUGUCAGUCCAGCACUGGCCUCCUUGGCCCGGUCAAGCAGUGGUGUCACUGGAGGUUCUGGACGGAAUUUCCGGUCAAGAGGACGUGGUUUUGGAAAUCGCCCUCUCGUGUCUGGGUCUAAUUCCAUCCCAUUAAGUGGGCGAAGGGCUUGGUAAGGUCAAUGUUUUAGGAAGAUAGCAACAACUUAUGCAAAGUUUUGCUAUAUACUUUCAUAUGUCCAGUUACCAAAUUAAUUUAUGGUCCGUCAUGCUAGACACAGGAAACUAGAAACCUUUUUGAAUGCCUUUCCUGAUGCAAAACAAGCAGUUAAAUGUAAGUGUGCUUAUAUGAUGCCUAACUGACAUAAUCGCACUGGAACAUGUCUAUGAAAGAUACUUAUGAUAUUUGUCGAUUCAUGGUAAGAAUGCUAAAUUUACAAGAUUA